rnacentral:rRNA from 1 species
UACGUAGGGUGCAAGCGUUAUCCGGAAUUAUUGGGCGUAAAGAGCUCGUAGGCGGUUUGUCGCGUCUGCUGUGAAAACUGGGGGCUCAACCCCCAGCCUGCAGUGGGUACGGGCAGACUAGAGUGCGGUAGGGGAGAUUGGAAUUCCUGGUGUAGCGGUGGAAUGCGCAGAUAUCAGGAGGAACACCGAUGGCGAAGGCAGAUCUCUGGGCCGUAACUGACGCUGAGAAGCGAAAGCAUGGGGGAGCGAACAGG